rnacentral:rRNA from 1 species
GAUGAACGCUGGCGGCGUGCCUAAUACAUGCAAGUCGAGCGAAUGGAUUAAGAGCUUGCUCUUAUGAAGUUAGCGGCGGACGGGUGAGUAACACGUGGGUAACCUGCCCAUAAGACUGGGAUAACUCCGGGAAACCGGGGCUAAUACCGGAUAACAUUUUGAACCGCAUGGGUCGAAAUUGAAAGGCGGCUUCGGCUGUCACUUAUGGAUGGACCCGCGUCGCAUUAGCUAGUUGGUGAGGUAACGGCUCACCAAGGCAACGCUGCGUAGCCGACCUGAGAGGGUGAUCGGCCACACUGGGACUGAGACACGGCCCAGACUCCUACGGGAGGCAGCAGUAGGGAAUCUUCCGCAAUGGACGAAAGUCUGACGGAGCAACGCCGCGUGAGUGAUGAAGGCUUUCGGGUCGUAAAACUCUGUUGUUAGGGAAGAACAAGUGCUAGUUGAAUAAGCUGGCACCUUGACGGUACCUAACCAGAAAGCCACGGCUAACUACGUGCCAGCCGCCGCCGUAA